GUUAGGAAACACGCCUUCCCUGGCUCUAACCUUUAAUUAAUUUGGGGCUGAAAACUAAGCACCUAGUAUUUCACUUCUGAGCAGCUUGUGCUUCAGGAAACGGUGGAUGGGGGAUUAAAUUGCUGCGCACAGGGGAUCAGAUUGGUAUCAGGGUGCUUCCUGCCUGUAUUAGACAUCAAAGAGGGCUGCUGGGUGACCAGUAUCACCAUUUGUGGCCAGACUUUGUUCAAACUUCCCAGUCUGUUCUAUGGCACACAUUUAAAAGUCUACAUUUAAUUAUUUUUUCGACACAACUUUUUCCUUAAAAUGACCAUUUGUAACCUUUAGCUUUUAAAUUGGGUUUUUCUCUUUUGCACCCACACAAACGUUUUAAAAACAGACAAAAGUUUCAAUGAAUGGAAGUAAAUGGAAGACGCCUUAAAUAUGAAUACAUCUCUUUUCGGGUCACUGUGGAGACCUGCAAGAUAAACAACGCUGAAUUCCUGAAACGUGCUGGCUGGUAAAGAAAAAGUGGGAAUGUGUUGGAGGGACUUCUGAAGAAUUUGAAAUAAUAGCCCAACACUCAAAGGACAGUGGAGACGGUUAUGGAUGUCGUGCCAACAUCACCCUGUGUGACGCAACCUACAACACUGUGGAGUCAUUCUGCUUCCUGGGCGUCACCAUCACCAAAUACCUGAAUAUGAGCUUCAUCACCAAGAGUGCUCAGCAGAGGAUGUACCCCAAUCAGCUGACAGGUUAACUCUAGGGAGAAAGGUGGCAGCAUACCGAAUAUCAGGAACUUCCUGUCUCAAAGUGAUGCAGAAAAAUUAGUUCAUGCGUUUGUUACUUCUAGACUGGAUUACUGUUAUUCUUUGUUAUCGGGCUGCUCUUGUAACUCUUUUAAAUCUCUCUAAUUAAUUGAGAAUGCUGCAGCACGUGUACAAGAACUAAGAAAAUGGAUCAUAUUAAUCCUGUAGGAACUCCUGUCCUUAGGGUUUUAAAAAGUCGGAUGAGAGCCAGAGCCUUCAGUUAUCAAGCUCCUCUUUUGUGGAACCAGCUUCCACUUUCAGUCCAGGGGGCAGAUUCGGUCAGCUCUUUUAAGGUAAAGCUUAAAACUUUCCUCCUUGAUUCUGCUUAUAGUUAGGGCUGGCUCAGGUCAGCCCGAACCAGCCCUUAGUUAAGCUGCUAUAGGCUUAGACUGCCGGGGGACUUCUUAGGACACAACAAGCUCCUCUCUCACGCUCUCUUUCUACAAUAAUCCACAUUUUAUUAAUGCACAUGGCUAAUUCAUCUUAUUUAUAGCCGGCUGGUUUUUUUGUGCUUUCUCCCCUAGCAGGUCUCCGUAGAUCGUAGUUCCUUCUGGACCCUGGUCCUGACUCCUACCGUGGUGGUUCUAUCUGAUCGUAGUUGUCCCUGCAGUGGUCCUGUCGUGCGCCCAGCCUAGUCAGCCAGGUGCACGCGUAACAAAAAAGAUAAUUUUAGCAAAAUUGUCAAGUAGUAGUGAAAUCCUUUGUGAUCCUUUUCCACUUUUCUGGGACAAAAUAAGGCAAUAGAUUUGGAAAAGGCAUAGCUGCCCAGAGGUCUAGUUAGAGACUGACCAACUGCCUUAUGUGUUUUUUGCUGCUCUAAACGGUAGAUGAGGCCAUAACUGAUGACUUACUUGUCAUCAGAUUACUGUGGUUGCAAUGAAAGCCUAUAACCAAGUAGUGCUUGAUGGCACAUGAUUGAAAACAACUGGUCUAAACCAACUACCAACUAUGUCACCCACUUACAUUGUGCAUCAACUGUUUGUCUAACAGAGCUGACAAAAUUGUUUUGCUAAUCUUCCCACCCGCUUUGUUGGAGGUAGCAUGGCAAGCUGUUAUGUAGGAGAGUUUGCCACCCAAGAAGGCCCCAAUAUGCCAAAUGAGAUGCACACUGAGAGACAAAAUGUUGAUUGAGACAUUGAUUAUAAGAAUUAUUACUAGCAAUAUAUGAAAACUGACAUCAUGGUGACGACUUUAAUCUAUUGUAUAUUUUGAAAUCAACGACUAUUACUGGCGAGGAUUCUAAACCACAGUAAAAAUAUCGUACUGAGAGAUAGUGACAACAAGGGCGCAUAACUGUAAAGAUUAUGCUAUUUCAAGCAGUGCGUGGUAAUAAAAAGAUGUGAUAUGGCAGUUAUCGAAAUUGGAAAAAAAGGAAUCAUAUGAAGAGCUGAGGGAAACCUUCGCUUUUAGAUUAAAGCCCCCCAAUAGACAAGUUCCUUGAACCCGCCAUCACAAGAAGAAGAAACACGGAAAAGAGCUAUGCAGAGAUAACGAGAGACCAGAGAUGCACCAACACAACUUGUGCCCAAGACAUGAGCUGUGUGCGGUUUGGAUAAUUUUUGGUUUUGAAAAAUCCCGCGUUAACUUUAGAUGAGAAAAAUAUUUAUUGCAAAGUUGGUCAAGGCACUAGUAUUAAAUCUGGUGGAAACACUAGCAGCCACAACAGCUAACACGCUAACUCGCCAGGCAGUUGCUUGCGUGUUAGCGGUGAACAGCUGUUCAAGUGGCUGGCGGUCCUCGUUUUUAACCACUAACUGGCCAGUUGCGAGUGAGCAGCUAACAACGAAUGGUUGAUAACAGCGAUGAACAGCAGUUUAGUUGGCUGGCGUCCUUUUCGUCCCUUUCGGCAAUCAGUGUUUUGUUCUGUCCAUCCUACGCAGACUCAGGACGCUGUGCAGCACCUCCUCCGCCUCCCUCAGGUUUCCGCCAGUGCCACUGAACAUUCAAUAGACUUUCGUAUAUUGGCCAGAGUCCGGGAGAGAGCGCUGAAGGGGGUUUAUCUCAACAGUCUUGGGGACGGAUGGAAUGAUGAGCUAGCCUUUUAGAGGCUGCCUAACACUAGUGGACCUUAUUGCUCUCACAAUCCAACUGGAUACUUGGAUGCGGCAGCGUCGGAGAGCCGAACUACAGGGUUCCAUCACCAGUUCAUUCACAGAGUGGCCGAUCCCCUCCAGCCAGAAGAAACUCCAGGAGUUCCUUGGCUUUGCAAAUUUCUACCGUUCAUUCGAAACUAUAGCCAGACGGCGUUGCCCCUAACUCGACUCACCUCCCCUACGGUGGAAUUUUCGUGGAUCCCCAAAGCCUGCCUGUAACGGAAUGGUUCACUUCAGCCCCCAUCCCCGCCCUGCCAGACGAAAGUCGCCAGUUUUUGGUCAAGUGGGACGCCUCCGACACCAGCGUAAAGGCAGUGUUAUCCCAACACUCAACCCCUGACUCUAAGCUCUGCCUGUGUGCUUUUUUCUACCGCCCCCUUUACCUGUACGUGCGUCACUGGCUCUGGAGGACUGAAGACAUUGGCUGGAGGGGUCAGUCCACACUUCCAUUGUGUGGACCGACCACCGAAAUCUUGAGCCUCACACAGACCUCGUGUUGGAUUACUACAACCGGUUCCUGUUCCCCACAUGCCCUGGUCGCACAUGGCACUGGACUUUGUCACAGGAUUUCCCUCGUUGGAUAACAAUACAGUUAUGCUGAUCCUUGUGGAAGACGAUUGCCAUCCCGUAUGUUCAGAGCAAUUUUCGCUGAUGUUCUACUUCGGGAACAAACAGCUAGCCGACCGCCGCAGCACACCCGUCCCCACAUACCUCCCCAGCCAACGUGUCUGGCUUUCCGCUAAGGACAUACCCCUGCGCACUGAAUCUAAGAAACUCUCUCCCAGAUACAUUGGUCCUUUCCCCAUUACUUCAAUUGUCAACCCACUCACAGUUAAAUUGUGAUUGCUCUUGCAAUCCCUGAGGAUCCACCAGUGUUCCAUGUGUCCCUUCUGAAGCCGUCAUCGACGUCGCCUGGAUGUCCGCCGGCAAGACAGGGGUCUAAUACCCUGUAGUUUGGUGUCCUCCGAGUCCCGCCCAUUGCCCCACCUUCCUCCGUUGCCGCAGCUGUGUCUCAUCUCCCGGCUCCGUGAUUUUUACACCCAAAUCAUUUUCCAUCCUGUGAGAUUCUGAAAUUAAUAUCCUGUUCUUUUUUGCUAAACUCCUGCCGUGCAGCGUCGAACCUCAGGUUUCACCUGGCCGAAGAAGUCUGCCAGCUUGUUCCUCGGAGAUCAGCUGUGCAACUCAUCAGCUCCUGUGUCGAGCCUGCCUGCCUGCCUGCCUGUCUGCCUUCUAGCCGCGGAAGCCCCAAGUCCACCUUCCGGGUAGAACCAGAGCAGAGCACACGGGAUUGCAUACAUCGUCACGUGACUGUUUCCUGCUGGCUUUUCUGGAACUCUCAACAUGACUUUUCAUGUUUGAUUCCUGUUACCUUUCCUCCGCCACAAACAAUAAAUUACCUGUUGGAUUAAAAAAGAGGGUUGUCCUGGGUCUGGGUCCGUAAACACAUCUUAACAGGCAGAGUCUGCAUUGGUGACGGAUGGCAGUGAGACGGGCAGUGGAAGCAGCAGACAGUGUGUCUAACCGAUCAGGCAGACAGGCAGUUAAGACCUGUGAUUGACAAGAGGUCUUGUGGCUCGCGCCUCUGCAUGCCACUCAUCCGCCACUUCCUGGGCCCUUUGUGUUUCAAACACACACACACACACACACACACACACGGAUACAUACACACGCACACACACCAUCUGCUGUGGUAAUUCACAGGCUGCGUGCCGGAGCAGCACACAGCCUCCUCUCUUACUUUGCUUUCUCCUAUUCAUCCCUCCUUUGCUCUUUUAUUCAGAGGGAGAAAGCCAGGCCAUUCAGAACUUUUGUUUGUACUAGCGCCACACACAUAUAUACAGACACACAAACCAAACUUAAAAAACAAUUAUUCCACUCCAAUCAGAGAACGGCAGUCUAGUUUUGUGAUGUCUUACAAUUAAUUAGCCUUUCAUUUUUUGAUCAACUGUCAAGGAGCUCAUUUGCUCUUGGGCUGCAGUAGCUAAUUCGGUUUCUACAAAAACUAAACAAAUGUAAGACUUCGGUGAAUACUGAGCUGUUUGUUAUUUUGUCUUAUCCAUCUGUUCCCUGUUUUGUUGUAAAAUGUCUAGUUCUUACUGGAUUGUGUUUCAUUACUAAG
ensembl:lncRNA